GUUGUGUGUGUGCGUGGGGUACAGGGCGUGUUGGGUGCAUAGGACACAUUGUGUGCAGGACAUGUUGGGUUUAGGAUGCACUGUGUGUAGGAUGCAUUGGGUAUCGGGGGUGUUGGGUGUAGGACAUGGUGGGGGGGGAUGCGUUGGGUGUUGGGUGUAGGAUGGGAUGGGUGUGGGCCGCCUUGGCUGCACGCAGGCAGCAGCGCUGCCCUCUCAGUUCUCACUCCUGGCAGAGCCCGGAGUCUGCUCUGCUCCCCGCUUGCUGUGAGAGUGAAAGGAGGACGUGGCAAGCUGGAGUUGCUAAUCAAAGCAUUGCAAAAUGCACUCCAGUUUCAUUUCAGGAGAGCUGGGAAAGGUGCUGCCGUCUUCGCAGCGCCCAGGACGAACGCAGCUGCUCAGGCUGGGAAUGCUCUUUUCGUAGGGCGCUCUGCGUUGCCUUCUGCUCCCCUUUCCACAUUCAGUCCGGACAAUGGGAUCUUUCCUCGGUCACCCCGGGCGGAUGCGGGAUGGGUUGCCCAGAGGGGUUGUGGAUGCCCCAUCUCUGGAGGCGUGCAAAGCCAGGUUGGAUGUGAUCCUGGGCAGCCUGAUCUAAUGGCUGGCAGCCCUGCCCGUGGCAGGGGGCUGGAGCUAAGUGAUCUUUGAGGUCCACUCCAACCUGAGCCGUUCCAUGAGCAGCACACGCAGAUAGCCCAUAAUCUCUGCUGCAGCGCGACGGAGCCGCAGUGCAGCUUGGAGAAGGUUAAGUGAUAAAAAAAUAUGGCAGACACGGUAAGUAUUUGGCAUGUUCCAUGCAACAAAAGAUGAACAACGGCAACUGGGACGUUAUCUUUAUUUGCUAAAAAUAGAGUCCUGCAAAGUUGAAAAGAAAAGCGCUUUAUGCCUGUAAACCUCUCCUGUGGCUUUAUCAGAGCCUUCCAAGAUUUAUGUGGCUUUACCGGAGCCUUCCGUGAUGAGCUUCGUGGCUUUGGGGUGCCGUGUCUGCACUCAAAGGCUGCCCAGGGUUCAGGCAAGUGGAACUCAAUACAAAUCAGCUUCAGCAAGGAGGGAAUCAAUGGCUCUGAGCCAAAGCUGCUUUUCUUGUUCCCCUCAGCGGAGGGUCCAUCCCCAGCAGCCCCAUACCGAGCCCGCGAUGCCCGCAGCGUGCCCAGGUGCUUGGGAUGCGAGCACAGCGCAGUGCAGGGUGGGCAGGGAGCUGGUGGCUGUGAGCUGGCCGUGCUGCUGAGGUAUGCAGGCAUUUGAUACCGUGCAGCUGCCGGUGCUCGCCGAGCCGCUGCCUUCCCAGCAGUGCUUGUCCUGUGUGCUCGCUUCCCCUGGUACCCUGUUAAAAAAAAAUCCCCUCAUUCUGCCUCGCUGCAGUUCCAGCUGCAGAGAUACCAACUCGUGGGGUUUUGGCCAACGCUGCUGUAUCUUGAGAUGUUUGCAUGCCGGUGCUGGAACACAUUUUGCAAUGGAGUAGCAAGGGAGCCACUGGUUUGACCCUGCGAGCGGAGAGGAUGAUGUGAUGUUCCACACCAGCUAAAUAGAGGCAGAACAAUAGGGCUAUUUUUGUGGAUGGAGCUCGCAGGGCUCCCCAGGGAGUCCAGCCCCCUCGCUGGCCCAUCCUGCUAGAGGAAAACAAGGCAGAGCUCCUGCACCCUGCCUUCUCCGUCAUAGGAAUACCAGCUUGAGCAAGGGCAUGAAAGAAAUCUAUUGUCUCCGAGGCUGCAUUUCAAUGUGAAAUGCUCUGCUAAGGCCAGCAAUCUUAAACCCUCCACAUGUGUGCCUAUUGUUUGAAGUGCAGAACAAUUGAGGGGUGCUCUCAUGGGCUAAAGAUAGCGAUGCAGCUGGUGCUGUCCUUUUCCCUGUAACUGAGAAUAAAACAAUGCCCAAGUAUUGUCUGCAUGACUGGAGCGAUGACAUUGGACUCUCUGCCAAGGGAGCAUCUAAAAGAUCAAUGAAACCCGAGUUAUUUAUAAACGAGUAGUGUCAUUUCUUCCCCAAAGUAAUUUCACUUCCUUAGCUCUUCCACCAGGCCUUUCUGUGCCGUGGAGCAGCCAUGGAGUGAGGUAUAAAUAGCACUGAACCGGGCUGUGAGUGAUCCAGUGGGACCUGGAAAACCAAACCAUCCCCUUCCACCUGAGGUUGGCUGUGCUGUCACUGCCCAGAGUGGAGCACAAGCUCCAGGAUGGGGAUGUGCACACAUGCCCCCCAGCAGCCUGCCCUGGACCAUGGCCAUGGAUGCUCAUCCCCUUCUCCUUGGCUCGCCAGCAGCCACCACACUGACCAUGUAUAGGAUUGUAGAAUAGAAUCAUGGAAUCACUAAGGUUGGAAAAGACCACUAAGAUCUGGGCUAACCAAUCCACCACCACCACACCCUCUAAACCACGUCCCCAAGUGCCACAUCUACCCUUUUCUUGAAAACCUCCAGGGACAGUGACUCCACCACUUCCCUGGGCAGCCUGUCCCAAUGUCUCACCACUCUUUCUUAGUGGACCCAUUGACCCAGGGUCCCUGCAGCACCAGGAUCUGCUCCCCGGGCUGCUUUCUGGGAGGUUUAUUUCACUCAGCAGCCAACAAACAGGUGACAGUUCAGGCUGUGUCCAGUUCUGCUGCUGCACAGGUUGCUCAGGGUAGCCCCAUAGCCCAAAAGGCCGUGGGACUUUCCUGGUCCCAGAGGACUUGUAAAGGAAAGCUGCUUUCUGCAAGCUGCUGUCCUACCAGGGUGCAUCCAGACUGGAAACCUGGAAUUAGGCAUAGACACCAAUCUGGAGAAAUAAAAGCUCAGCUUGGAUCCCAGGUUGGAGCAGGGUGCACCAACUGUGGGGGACAGCAGCAGCCCCUCAAAGUGCUGUGGAUACUGAGCAAAAGCUGGGAGGUGCCACCAGACAUUUCUGGGUCUUCUGUCACCCAGCCAAGGUGCUGAGUGUGUGUCCUCAGCACAGGCCUGGGCAAGACCCUGCCACAGCCUUUUGCGUGGGUCUGGGACACCAGCAGAUGUGAAGGAUCUGCUUCCCUGGCCAAGAAGGAGAAGUCCUGGCUGGUCACCACCAUCUCCUUCUGUCUUCAC
rnacentral:lncRNA from 1 species